rnacentral:tRNA from 1 species
GCUCUAAUAGCUUAACUCACUAAAGCAUUGUUUUUGUAAACCAAAGCCGGGAACCACCCCUUAGAGCA